rnacentral:rRNA from 1 species
CAGCCGCCGCGGUAAAACAGAGGGUGCGAGCGUUAAUCGGAUUUACUGGGCGUAAAGCGUGCGUAGGCGGCUUCUUAAGUCGGAUGUGAAAUCCCUGAGCUUAACUUAGGAAUUGCAUUCGAUACUGGGAAGCUAGAGUAUGGGAGAGGAUGGUAGAAUUCCAGGUGUAGCGGUGAAAUGCGUAGAGAUCUGGAGGAAUACCGAUGGCGAAGGCAGCCAUCUGGCCUAAUACUGACGCUGAGGUACGAAAGCAUGGGGAGCAAACAGGAUUAGAGACCCGCGUAGUCCCUGUCUCUUAUAC